rnacentral:rRNA from 1 species
UACAGAGGUCUCAAGCGUUGUUCGGAUUCAUUGGGCGUAAAGGGUGCGUAGGUGGCGCCGUAAGUCAGGUGUGAAAUUUCGGAGCUUAACUCCGAAACUGCAUUUGAUACUGCGGUGCUUGAGGACUGGAGAGGAGACUGGAAUUUACGGUGUAGCAGUGAAAUGCGUAGAGAUCGUAAGGAAGACCAGUGGCGAAGGCGGCUACCUGGCUUGAUACUGACACUGAGGCACGAAAGCGUGGGGAGCAAACAGG